GCGGAGCUAGAGGGGAGGCCGGGGUAGCACUGGACCCCCCUGAAAUCUGAUUGGACCUCCCAGGUGCCACCACAGAUGAUUGACAUAUCGCGGCACUGCACGUCUUGUCGGAAGGAGCCAGUUGCAUUUUUAAAUCAGUGACGCCUAUUGACUGCUAAGUCCCUCCUGUACAGUAGUUGACGCUAUGUACCACAAAGCGUUGAGAGCCACGUUCAUUAGGGGAGAAGAAAAAGAAUCGCCACUGAAGAAGAGGAAGAUUUGAACUGGAGUCGGUUAUCGUUGCUGGAGACCGGAGAGCCGGAGAUCAACAAAGUUACAAAGAAAAAGAAGGAUAACCUUCUCUUCGUAAAUUCCAUUAGACACAGAAGGAAAAGAUGGCAGCUCCCUUCCUGGGACUAGUCGGGAGAGAGAACUCACAACACAGCACAGCCCAUCUUCACCAGUUCCAUCAAAUGAGGACACGGAGGCCACUGACUCUAAUGAGGAUGUAGAUAAGCAACAAGAGCCAGACCAAGAGCCAGCUGUCUCCAGCACUUUUGCUCAUCCAAGAGGACCCAGUGGUAGAUCUACCUACCUGAAACUUGCUAAUAUUUCCAGAUGCAAAGAGGAGGGACCAGUUCAGCCUUGUCUGACACAAUUGCUGUUGAUACUCCAGUCAGCACUGCUUCCUGUGAGAGAAGCUUCUCUGCUUUAAAACUGAUUAAAACUCAUCUCAGAACCACAAUGGCUGAUGACAGGUUAAGUCACCUUGGAACUCUCAGUAUUGAGUCAAGGAGGGCACGUGCCCUCAACAUGGAUGACUUUGUGAAACAUUUUGCGGCUUCUCAUCAUAACCGACGGAUUAUGCUUUUCUAAACCUUUUCCCUUUUCUGAGAGAGACAGAGAGAGAGAACUAUGAAUGUGUUGGUGCAUUUUCACCAUCUUUGUAAAAAAUAGUUAUUAUUAUUAGUUCUUGAAAAAUUGUU